UCACUUUAACACUGAGGCGUGACGACGAGGCACUACGGUGCUGAAGCAACAAAUGCCCUGCUUCCAGGAAAAGCCUCUAAGCAUCAGGUAACAUCAAAUCGUACCCCAAACCGACACAGGUGGUCAGGUAGAGAAUACCAAGGCGCUUGAGAGAACUCGGGUGAAGGAACUAGGCAAAAUGGUGCCGUAACUUCGGGAGAAGGCACGCUGACAUGUAGGUGAAGUGAUUUACUCAUGGAGCUGAAGUCAGUCGAAGAUACCAGCUGGCUGCAACUGUUUAUUAAAAACACAGCACUGUGCAAACACGAAAGUGGACGUAUACGGUGUGACGCCUGCCCGGUGCCGGAAGGUUAAUUGAUGGGGUCAGCGCAAGCGAAGCUCCUGAUCGAAGCCCCGGUAAACGGCGGCCGUAACUAUAACGGUCCUAAGGUAGCGAAAUUCCUUGUCGGGUAAGUUCCGACCUGCACGAAUGGCGUAAUGAUGGCCAGGCUGUCUCCACCCGAGACUCAGUGAAAUUGAACUCGCUGUGAAGAUGCAGUGUACCCGCGGCAAGACGGAAAGACCCCGUGAACCUUUACUAUAGCUUGACACUGAACAUUGAGCCUUGAUGUGUAGGAUAGGUGGGAGGCUUUGAAGUGUGGACGCCAGUCUGCAUGGAGCCGACCUUGAAAUACCACCCUUUAAUGUUUGAUGUUCUAACGUGGACCCGUAAUCCGGGUUGCGGACAGUGUCUGGUGGGUAGUUUGACUGGGGCGGUCUCCUCCUAAAGAGUAACGGAGGAGCACGAAGGUUGGCUAAUCCUGGUCGGACAUCAGGAGGUUAGUGCAAUGGCAUAAGCCAGCUUGACUGCGAGCGUGACGGCGCGAGCAGGUGCGAAAGCAGGUCAUAGUGAUCCGGUGGUUCUGAAUGGAAGGGCCAUCGCUCAACGGAUAAAAGGUACUCCGGGGAUAACAGGCUGAUACCGCCCAAGAGUUCAUAUCGACGGCGGUGUUUGGCACCUCGAUGUCGGCUCAUCACAUCCUGGGGCUGAAGUAGGUCCCAAGGGUAUGGCUGUUCGCCAUUUAAAGUGGUACGCGAGCUGGGUUUAGAACGUCGUGAGACAGUUCGGUCCCUAUCUGCCGUGGGCGCUGGAGAACUGAGGGGGGCUGCUCCUAGUACGAGAGGACCGGAGUGGACGCAUCACUGGUGUUCGGGUUGUCAUGCCAAUGGCACUGCCCGGUAGCUAAAUGCGGAAGAGAUAAGUGCUGAAAGCAUCUAAGCACGAAACUUGCCCCGA
rnacentral:rRNA from 1 species